AGAGUUUGAUCAUGGCUCAGAGUGAACGCUGGCGGCGUGCUUAACACAUGCAAGUCGAACGAGAACGGUCCUUCGGGAUGUCAGCUAAGCGGCGGACGGGUGAGUAAUGUAUAGUUUACGUGCCUCUUGGAAAGGGAUAACAGUUGGAAACGGCUGCUAAUACCUUAUACUCCUUCUAUCUUAAUGAUAGUUGGGAAACGAAUUUUGCCAAGAGAUCGGACUAUAUUGUAUCAGUUAGUUGGUGAGGUAAUGGCUCACCAAGACUAUGACACAUAGCUGGUUUGAGAGGAUGAUCAGCCACACUGGAACUGAGACACGGUCCAGACUCCUACGGGAGGCAGCAGUGGGGAAUAUUGCACAAUGGAGGAAACUCUGAUGCAGCAACGCCGCGUGGAGGAUGACGCAUUUCGGUGUGUAAACUCCUUUUAUAUAGGAAGAUAAUGACGGUACUAUAUGAAUAAGCACCGGCUAACUCCGUGCCAGCAGCCGCGGUAAUACGGGAGGGUGCAAGCGUUACUCCGAAUCACUGGGCGCAAAGCGCGCGCAGGCGGUCUUUUUAGUUUGAAGUGAAAUCCUAUGGCUCAA
rnacentral:rRNA from 1 species